rnacentral:rRNA from 1 species
AUGCCUUUUCCUCCCAAACCAUCCAAGAAAAAGGAUAAUGAGGAUUUUGAGCGCUUUGCUGAAAUGAUUAAACCUACCUUUUUGUGUAUGCGAUUAACUGAUAUACUCAAAACCAAUCCUUAUGCUAAGUACAUGAAAGAUAUUAUUACAAAUAAAAGAAAGAUACCGAAAGCUGAAAUUUCCACCACGCUUGCUAAUCUCUCCCUAAUAAUAAAGUAUCGAUUGAGUCUCCGGGUUCACCGUCACAAUGCGCUUUCUUCCCAUGUCAUAAUACGCUUCUUCCUGUCCGUUUUUUCUUGA